GGCUCAGUGGUCUAGUCGUAUGAUUGCUGCUUCGGGAAAACCAAUCCCGCUCCGGAACACAACAUCCAGAGUUGUCACUAGCUGAACAAACUGUAGCAGGUCCCGGGUUCAACUCCCGGCUGAGCCC